GUUAGGAAUAUUGGACAAUGGGCGCAAGCCUGAUCCAGCCAUGCCGCGUGAGUGAUGAAGGCCUUCGGGUUGUAAAGCUCUUUAGUCCACGAAUAUAAUGACUGUAGUGGAAGAAUAAGCCCCGGCUAACUUCGUGCCAGCAGCCGCGGUAAUACGAAGGGGGCGAGCGUUAUUCGGAAUCACUGGGCGUAAAGCGCGCGUAGGCUGUUUUGUAAGUCAGAAGUGAAAGCCCAGGGCUUAACCCUGGAAUUGCUUUUGAAACUACAAGACUCGAAUUCGGGAGAGGAUAGCGGAAUUUCCAGUGUAGCAGUGAAAUGCGUAGAUAUUGGAAGGAACACCAGUGGCGUAAGCGGCUAUCUGGACGAGUAUUGACGCUGAGGCACGAAAGCGUGGGGAUCAAACAGGAUUAGAAACCCCGGUAGUCC
rnacentral:rRNA from 1 species